GUGUCAGCCGCCGCGGUAAUACGGAGGGUGCAAGCGUUAUCCGGAUUCACUGGGUUUAAAGGGUGCGUAGGAGGACUGGUAAGUCAGUGGUGAAAUCCCCGAGCUUAACUUGGGAACUGCCGUUGAUACUAUCAGUCUUGAAUACCGUGGAGGUGAGCGGAAUAUGUCAUGUAGCGGUGAAAUGCUUAGAUAUGACAUAGAACACCAAUUGCGAAGGCAGCUCGCUACACGAAUAUUGACUCUGAGGCACGAAAGCGUGGGGAUCAAACAGGAUUAGAUACCCUAGUAGUCC
rnacentral:rRNA from 1 species